rnacentral:rRNA from 1 species
UACGAAGGGGGCUAGCGUUGUUCGGAAUCACUGGGCGUAAAGGGCGCGUAGGCGGCCGAUCAAGUCGGGGGGUGAAAGCCUGUGGCUCAACCACAGAAUUGCCUUCGAUACUGUUUGGCUUGAGACCGGAAGAGGUAAGUGGAACUGCGAGUGUAGAGGUGAAAUUCGUAGAUAUUCGCAAGAACACCAGUGGCGAAGGCGGCUUACUGGUCCGGUUCUGACGCUGAGGCGCGAAAAGCGUGGGGAGCAAACAGG